UACGUAGGGGGCAAGCGUUGUCCGGAUUUAUUGGGCGUAAAGAGCGUGUAGGCGGCUAGGUAGGUCCGUUGUGAAAACUCGAGGCUCAACCUCGAGACGCCGGUGGAAACCAUCUAGCUAGAGUCCGGAAGAGGAGAGUGGAAUUCCUGGUGUAGCGGUGAAAUGCGCAGAUAUCAGGAAGAACACCCGUGCCGAAGGCGGCUCUCUGGGACGUGACUGACGCUGAGACGCGAAAGCGUGGGGAGCGAACAGG
rnacentral:rRNA from 1 species